rnacentral:rRNA from 1 species
UACGGGGGGGGCAAGCGUUGUUCGGAAUUACUGGGCGUAAAGGGCGCGUAGGCGGUUCGCUAAGUCGGAUGUGAAAACUCUGGGCUCAACUCAGAGCCUGCAUCCGAAACUGGCGGGCUAGAGUUCUGGAGGGGGUAGCGGAAUUCCUGGUGUAGCGGUGAAAUGCGUAGAUAUCAGGAGGAACACCGGUGGCGAAGGCGGGUCUCUGGGCCGAUACUGACGCUGAGGAGCGAAAGCGUGGGGAGCGAACAGG